rnacentral:lncRNA from 1 species
GACAGACACAGCAAAACUUCUUGCCACAGCUCGCAUUGAUGUGCCAUCCUGGAUGAGUUGCACUACCUGAGCCACUUGUGUGGGUUGUAGACUCGGGCUCAUGCAACCACUAGAGUGAAGCACCGCCAGCAUUCAAAAGUGACCAAAACAUCAGCCAGGAAGCAUAGGAACUGAGAAGUGGUCUGUGGUCCCCACCUGCAGAACCACUCCUUUAUUGGGGGUGUCUUGCUAAUUGCCUAAAAUUUCCACCUGUUGUCUAUUCUAUUUGCACAACAGCAUGUGAAAUUUAUUGUCAAUCAGUGUUGCUUCCUAAGUGGACAGUUUGAUUUCACAGAAGUGUGAUUGACUUGGAGUUACAUUGUGUUGUUUAAGUGUUCCCUUUAUUUUUUUGAGCAGUGUACAUCUCACUCUUUUUUCCUCUCUCACUCUCAGAAUAAAUGUUUCAUGUCGAAUGAGAGAUCCAUUUCUGUCAGUCUCCUAUUUGCCUGAGGGGGCCUGCAAGGCAUAAGUAGAAAGAACUUUCAUUCCAUGUUUAUCAUCUCAAGUAUUCGGGCCAACAACCUACAUUGAUGACAGGGCUGUUGCCAUUGAUGACAGGAACUGUGAUGGUUACGAGCCACAAACAUGUUCAUGAAGUGAAGUCCGGCGGGCUUAGAUCAUGUGCUAACAACACGGAGCUUUUUGGACAUAAAUGAUGAGCUUUUUUGAACAAAACUACAUUCGUUAUGGACCUGGGAUUCCUGGAAGUGACAUCUGAUGAAGAGAAUCAAAGGGAUUCCUGAGAAAACCAGCAAACCAGGCUGUCGUCUUGGGAAACAGUGGAUGUAAAGAAUCUAGCUAAAGCAUAUACUGCAAAUUGAAUGUACAGUUACGUAAGCUUGCCUUGCCGUGCAAUGCUGCUGAAGUAACAUAGCUAGCUAACUAUUUACUUGCUUAUUGUGUAGUGGAGGAUAAAAAUAACUGUAUGC